AACGCACAUUGCGCCUCUUGGUAUUCCGAGGGGCAUGUCUGUUUGAGCGUCAGUACCCACUCUCUCACAAGAGGUUUUGAGGGAACUCCCCCACCAACGUGGCACGCUUGCGAACCCCUACCGAUCACGACGUAGUAAACAUUCUCGUUCUGCCAGGGAAAGGGCCGCCUGAAUCGAAACUCAGUUUUGACCUCAGAUCAGACAAGGAUACCCGCUGAACUUAA
rnacentral:misc_RNA from 1 species